rnacentral:rRNA from 1 species
UUUUCCAUCUAGUGGCAAACGGGUGAGUAACACGUGGGUUACCUGCCUCUAAGUUGGGGAUAACAGUUGGAAACGAUUGCUAAUACCGAAUAAGCUCUCCGGAGUAAAGAUCUCCUUAAAGGAUCGCUUAGAGAUGGGCCUGCGGUGCAUUAGCUUGUUGGUGGGGUAAUGGCCUACCAAGGCAACGAUGCAUAGCCGAACUGAGAGGUUGAUCGGCCACACUGGGACUGAGACACGGCCCAGACUCCUACGGGAGACAGCAGUUAGGAAUAUUCGACAAUGGGGGAAACCCUGAUCGAGCAAUGCCGCGUGAAUGAUGAAGGCCCUCUGGGUUGUAAAAUUCUGUUGUUUGGAAAGAAUUGUAAGUAUAGGAAAUGAUACUUACUUGACGGUACCAUUCAAGAAAGCCACGGCUAACUACGUGCCAGCAGCCGCGGUAAUACGUAGGUGGCGAGCGUUAUCCGGAUUUAUUGGGCGUAAAGUGUGCGCAGACGGUUUAUUAAGUCUGAAAUUAAAGCCCGGAGCUUAACUCCGGUCCGUUUCAGAAACUGGUAUGACUAGAGUAUGGUAGAGGCAAAUGGAAUUCCUAGUGUAGCGGUGGAAUGCGUAGAUAUUAGGAGGAACACCAGUGGCGAAGGCGAUUUGCUGGGCCAUUACUGACGUUCAUGCACGAAAGCGUGGGGAGCAAAUAGGAUUAGAUACCCUAGUAGUCCACGCCGUAAACGAUGAGUACUAAGUGUCGGGUUACCGGUGCUGAAGU